rnacentral:rRNA from 1 species
AUUGAACGCUGGCGGCAUGCUUUACACAUGCAAGUCGAACGGCAGCGCGGGCUUCGCCCUGGCGGCCAGUGGCGAACGGGUGAGUAAUGCAUCGGAACCUGCCCAGUAGUGGGGGAUAACCCCGCGAAAGCCGGACUAAUACCGCAUACGACCUGAGGGUGAAAGUGGGGGACCGACAGGCCUCGCGCUAUUGGAGCGGCCGAUGUCGGAUUAGCUAGUUGGUGGGGUAAAGGCUUACCAAGGCGACGAUCCGUAGCUGGUCUGAGAGGACGACCAGCCACACUGGAACUGAGACACGGCCCAGACUCCUACGGGAGGCAGCAGUGGGGAAUUUUGGACAAUGGGGGCAACCCUGAUCCAGCCAUGCCGCGUGCGGGAAGAAGGCCUUCGGGUUGUAAACCGCUUUUGUUCGGGAAGAAAUCCUCUGGGCUAAUACCCCGGGGGGAUGACGGUACCGGAAGAAUAAGCACCGGCUAACUACGUG